AUAAAAAGAGGGAGUGCAGAGGGGUCCGCCCUCUGCCGUUAAGGAGGGUGCUCAGGCUGCUAUGCAGCCGCCGAAGGGAAC
rnacentral:ncRNA from 1 species